rnacentral:rRNA from 1 species
GUGAACCUGCGGAAGGAUCAUUGUCGAAACCUCCAAAAGACCCGUGAACUAGUUAUCAACAUGUGGGGAGUGUUGGGAGUUAUCCCUUAGCUCCUUCGUGCCAGUGGUGGGUAAUUGUGUCGUUAUACCGGCAUGAUUGACCAACAUCUGGACAAACUAACCAACCCCGGCGCGGCAUGCGCCAAGGAACUUCGCAAUAAAUGUGGAAACGCUACCGGUCGUUCCGAAAAUCGGAUAAAGCGGCCGUGUUGUGGACCACUUUUUCAUUACAAAACGACUCUCGGCAACGGAUAUCUAGGCUCUUGCAUCGAUGAAGAACGUAGCGAAAUGCGAUACUUGGUGUGAAUUGCAGAAUCCCGUGAACCAUCGAGUCUUUGAACGCAAGUUGCGCCUGAAGCCUCUUGGCCAAGGGCACGUCUGCCUGGGUGUCACACAUCGUCCCCACCGAAACAAAUACUCCUUGUAGGUGUUUGGUAAGAGGAUGGGCGGAUAAUGGUCUCCCGUGCGUGGUUGCUCGCGGUUGGCCUAAAAAUAAGUUCCUGGUGAUAGCAAGCCAUGACCAGCGGUGGUUGAAAGACCCUCGAUGGGUGUCGUGAGAACUUGCAUCGCAUGUUGGGAGAUUCUGACCUUGAUCGUGUUUAAGCAUAUCAAACACUCAUGAA